CAUACUCAAUACGAUCACACAGAAGCCUUGGGUGAGUUUUGCAAUGUUUAAAGAUUUAAUGAAAGACUUGUCCCCUUAAAAGAUCUGAUUUCCAAAUUCUCUUUUCGAAGGUGUCAUUUUGGGCUUGUGACUGACAGAACACGGUUGCUCCUAGCGCGCGGUCUGGCGCGGGAAGACCCCCGCGCAGGCGCAGAGCAGAGCAUUUGCUGAGUGAGGGACUACGGUGGAGUCUGUGUGGGGUAGGCGCUGGGAGACCCCCGCGCAGGCGCACACUGCGGCGCGGCCCCGGGCCGCUUCCCGCGCGGAGAGAGAGCACCUGUUACCUCUGGGUGGCCGCCAGCGCCCUCCUUGCCCUCUCUGGGACGCCGCUUGUCCCCCGCACCCCCUCGCUCCGUCUAUUUAUAGCGCUUGUCCUCACUGGCCCAUUUCGGGUAGUGUGAUCAGUCAGGUCUGCCCGGCUGCGCCCUCGCGACCCCGCGCCUUGCCCAGUCACCGCGCCGUGGCGGCGGAGCGAGCGGGCCGGGCAGCAUCGAGUAAGUAGGGGCCUAGAGAGGGGACGCACCCUCGGUCGGCCGGCCAGCGCGGGGUCAGCGGCCGC
rnacentral:lncRNA from 1 species